AGAAAACGAGUCAGAGCGGGAAAGUGACUCCGAUCCUCAAAUCUGAUUGGUCAACAAAAUGGCCACCUGCAGUCUCUCUUAUCGACGGAGGACUGAAAUGUCAGUGUGAUCCAGUUUGAGGUUGAUUGUUUCUUGCUGUGCGGCUCUCAGCAGGUGCAGCAGCAAAGGGAAGCGAAUCCUCCAGCUGCUGAUGAAUUAAUUCUAUGAAGUUACAUUUAUUCUCUGAUUGAUCUUAGUUUAGUUCUAUUGAUUUGCAUCCAGCCCUGUGCAUUUUGCUGCCUUGCCUCCUUCCUGGACGCAGAGCCUCCGCUGGUCAAAGUCUCACUGGUCAGCUGGACAAAGUUUUGUCUCAUCCACACAUCAAGAGUUAACUUGUUCUGAUUUGUACAAUUUCCAGAAUAAA